CAUGAUCGGAACACAUCUUUCAAAAUAGUUACAGCACAUUCAACUGUCUCAACACGCCUCGUCCUGAGAUCACUUUUGUCUAUAGGGACAGAAUUAAUCCGCGAUCUGAGUUUGUCAGCGUGUUACAUCCACGAGGAAGAUGUUCUUCAAUAGGACAGUGUUCGGCUAGGAACAUAAGGAGCUGAGCACUUAGCAGAAGAAAUGUUUCGGUUCCCGACAUAAAUUCUGUGAAUAACAAUUUUGAUUGCCAGAAAACGAUAUCUUCGGUAUCAACCUGAGAAAUCGCCAUCAGAAGACCGGCUACAUUCUCAACUCAUUUACGAAACGGCACAAUUUAUAACGAGAUACAGAAAAUAUUGACGAUGACGUCGAAAUACAAAUACACCUAUGAUGCAGAUUCAAGCCAUAAUUACUUGGGAACAUUUAUUGAGACAGAUGCAACCAACUAUUUCCCAAUAAAAGAAUCGAUGAAAUCGAAACACGUAUCAUUGGAUCAACUUAUCCAUGUGAGGGUAGAAUUGAUCGGUCGCCUGAGAAUGCUACAAUCGCCUACACGCUGUUGCCUUCCAAGUACCUCUUCAGAUAGUGAAACUGAUGGGAUAAGGAUUGUUCCCAGAUGCCUGUUCACAUGUUUCAACUGAAAUGAUUGCAAUAAAGCAAACGUUUUGACCCUUCAACAAAAGCACUUUUGGAAUUCGAAGCUUCUGCAAGGGAAUUGUGAGAGAAGAUUGAGGUGAUCCAAUUGAUACAUUCUAAAGCUUGUGAUUAAUUUCAAGCGCAAUGUGACAUUAAAGAUAUAAAACCCCAAUAUAUGAACAAUCAUCUAGAAAUGUGUUACUUCUGCAAUCUGCGUUAUUUUUGAAUAUCGAAGCGUGUUUAAAAUGUUUGCUCCUGUAAUAAGGUUAAGCGAAAUUUGUAUUUACUUUUUGCAGAAUACUAUUGACAAAUGGUGAACUACUUUGUUUCAAACUCUACGAAAGCUUGACGUUAGAGCUAUAACUUUCGUAUGUUUUGUAUCGCUAUUUUUUUUAAUUCAAAACGAUUAAUACAUCAAUCAAUAUUUAAUCUUAAAAUCUUUGCUAUUUACGUUUUAUUCAGAUAGAAACUGAAUAUAAUUACACGACAUGUAUUGUAAUGCCUGUUCAGUUCUUUCAAAGCAUAUUUUGUACUCUUUUGAAAAGAAGCUUUGGAAAUGAUUUUUAGAUUGUAGCGAAAUUCUUGUUGAUAUAUUUUGUUGUUCACCAUUUCACUAGCAAUUCAUUUUUCUUAAAGGGUGGAAGCACAAUACAUUUGUUCUCUGUAUAAUGAAUAAAAUUUUUGUUUAAAAUUCUACUUGUGACCAUGCCUAUUUGAAGCGCGGCAUGUUAAUUAGCCUAUUAUGUGCUCUGUAUUCAUAAUUAUUACAACUAUAACUUAGAGCGGAGAACUGGAAUUAUUCCAGAUAUUUUCCCCAAAGUAUCUUUUAUGACGUCUUCCGCCAUUAAAUGCAAUUUAUCAUUUGUAUUAUGGUAUUGGUAGUUUUUUUUAAUCUUAAAUGACGGACUGCCACUGUAUAAUUUUCAAAAUGGAGCUAUUCUAUUUUUGAAAUCGUAUUCUACCGAUAUAGCAAAGUCUAACAUCUUGCUGUUUAAUCUCAUAAAUUUUAUAAAAUUUCUCCCAUUUUUACUGUAGUAUCGAGUGAAUUUCCCCGCCUUUAUUUUGUAUGAAAUGAAUAUCAAAGAAUACUACAUGCUUCAAAAUACAAUAUGGAUAAUUGUAGUGCAUACAUCAAAUUUGGUAUUUUUUUAUAAGA